UAGCUCAGUUGGUAAAGAAUCUGCCUGCGGUGCAGGAGACCCAGGUUCGAUCCCUGG
rnacentral:tRNA from 1 species